rnacentral:rRNA from 1 species
UGGGGAAUAUUGCACAAUGGGCGCAAGCCUGAUGCAGCCAUGCCGCGUGUGUGAAGAAGGCCUUCGGGUUGUAAAGUACUUUCAGCGGGGAGGAAGGUGUUGUGGUUAAUAACCGCAGCAAUUGACGUUACCCGCAGAAGAAGCACCGGCUAACUCCGUGCCAGCAGCCGCGGUAAUACGGAGGGUGCAAGCGUUAAUCGGAAUUACUGGGCGUAAAGCGCACGCAGGCGGUCUGUCAAGUCGGAUGUGAAAUCCCCGGGCUCAACCUGGGAACUGCAUUCGAAACUGGCAGGCUAGAGUCUUGUAGAGGGGGGUAGAAUUCCAGGUGUAGCGGUGAAAUGCGUAGAGAUCUGGAGGAAUACCGGUGGCGAAGGCGGCCCCCUGGACAAAGACUGACGCUCAGGUGCGAAAGCGUGGGGAGCAAACA